UACGUAGGGCGCGAGCGUUGUCCGGAAUCAUUGGGCGUAAAGCGCGCGUAGGCGGCCCGGUAAGUCCGUUGUGAAAGUCAAAGGCUCAACCUUUGAACGCCGAUGGAUACUGCCGGGCUAGAGUCCGGAAGAGGCGAGUGGAAUUCCUGGUGUAGCGGUGGAAUGCGCAGAUAUCAGGAGGAACACCGAUUGCGAAGGCAGCUCGCUGGGACGUUACUGACGCUGAGACGCGAAAGCGUGGGGAGCAAACAGG
rnacentral:rRNA from 1 species